rnacentral:ncRNA from 2 species
AACACCACCCCCGCGACAGGUUCCCAGCGAUGGGAUUGAAAGGGAACCCGGAACUAGGCGGAAGCCUAUAGUCCGGGGCUGCCCCCGCAACUGUGACCGGCGAGCCUUGCUCCCUUCGCGUGCCACUGAACCCCGUGCGGUUUGGGAAGGCCGGAGCCAAGGCGCUGACCCGGGAGCCAGGAGACCUGCCUGCCGCGGUCGGUCCUU